rnacentral:ncRNA from 1 species
UAUUGUCUUAAGGGGUGCUUGUGUAAAAACAGGCUGAGAUUACACCCAUCGGAAGGAUUGUUAUACAAAAGCGUAUACUUUUCUCCGUGAACCUGAUCCGGAUAAUGCCGGCGUAGGAAUUGUAACAAAGAUAAUU